CGGAUCCACUCCUCUCCCACACUCCCUCACCUCCCCCCUCCCUCCCCCUGCCCACGCCCCACAUACCUGGGCUCCUGCCCCUUCCACCCCUCUCUGCUCCCUCCCUGCCCCCUUCCCUUCCUCCCCUCCCCUUUAUCUCACCUUCACCCCCUUUCCUCCUACACCCCUUCCGUGUCCCCACCCCCUGCCCUCAGUCCUCCUUCCUCCUCUUCCCCACAUCCCACCUCUCCUUUCCCCCUCCUUGUAGGCCCUCUUUCUCCUCAGCCCCCCUCCCCCCGCCUUUAGUCUCCUACCUCCCCUACAGCCUCCUGCCCCCGCCUCCUCACAGCCCCCUACUUACCCUACUGCCUCCCUCCUGGGGCCCUUUCCUCCCCAAGGGCCCCUCUGUUUUCUCCCAUUCCAGCCCCUGACCAGGCCCUGCUCCUCUGCUGGGGUCGGCCCCGCACAGUAAGCUGCCUGGGAGCCCUCAUUGCCUUCCUGGGCAACCCGGCCAAAGGCCCCCCGAGCAGCUGCAGCCCUGGAGGUCAGCCUCACCCUGGCAGACCGCAGGGGCCCCUCCUCACCGCCGACCUCUGCACCUUCACCCGUUUGCCUGGUGUCUGAGGAAGGGCCCGCAGGAAGAGCAUUCCUUUCCCAGGGUCUUCCUCAGGAGGGAUGAGAGGAAGCAAAAGCUUGGUCUGCAAACGGGCUGGUCCUCCCGACGGCCACAUCCGCAGGAAUGACCCUCAGAGGGGCUCCCCAACUGGCUGGGAGAUUCGUCCAGCUGGGCGCUCUGCUACACAGCCCCGUCAAGGGCAAACAGAUGACAAAACUGAGACACAAAAGAUGAAUCAGCUUGGCAGUGUUCACAGAGCCAGCGUGUGGAAAAGCCAGAAUCCAGACCCAGACCCGAACUGCAGCGUCCCGGCUCUUACCCCUAACCAGCCAGUGCCUCUCAGCUUAGUGCUCUUCCACCCGGCUUUUCUUUCUAAAAACCUCAUAGGUCGCUGUGGGGAUGGGGCCACGACGGAAGAGAAGGUGGUAAAAAGGGCGAGUUGCCUAAGCACCCUCUUUUUUUUCCCUCCCUUCUCCCCAUCCCAUGAUGGAGCAUUCUGCGCCAAAAGCCAGCUUUCACUCUGCAGGGCAACGUGGAGAGGGAUGAAAAGCCUAGACCCCUUAGCACGGUCACCUGAACACAAGCUGAGUGUGGCGUAUCAAGUGGAAGCCCAGGAGGGAAGAGCCAGUGGCACAGUUAUCUCCCACCACCCGACAUGCUCCGGCCGCCAGCUCUGGUCUGACCGACGCUUCGGAUGAAGAACUCCAAGCAGCCCCCUAUUCGUACUGUUUUCCUCAGUGAACUCCCAGGGAUCACCUGCUUUUUAUGUGUGACGAAUGUGGUCAGUUUUGUUUGCUUUUGACAGCUCAUUAUGGGUCCAUGAGGUCAGAGUCCUGGCUGAAAGGCCAGAAGUUUAGGGAGCCUAUCUCCAGCUGAUACUCGCUUGCUUCUUGACCAUCUUUGGGCUUCUGUUCUUUCCCAGUAGCAUAAAGCUUGUAUGAUUCUGACCUCUGGCACCUAUGCAUUAUUUAAUCAACAUUUAUUGGGGCUGUCUCCAUGCCAGGCAUGUGGUAGGCCCUAGUGGGGCAGGGGUAAAAAACCGCUGCAAUCCUGGCCUUUCAGGAACUCAGUCUAGAGGGAGAAAGAAAACACCUGAGGCCAGAGGGCUCUCUCUGAUCUGCUUCUUCUAUUUCAAGUCUGUGCUUUUAACUAUAUUGAAUUUCCCAGUUAUUAUAUCUUCUUAAUGAAUUGUUGAUUUUAUCAGUAUGGAAUGUCCAUCCCACUUUGACCCUUGUAAUGCCUUUUACCUUAAAUUCUAUUUUAUUCUGCCCAUCACUAGGGGACUAGUUGAAUCAGUUAUGGUAUAUCCUCACAAUGGAGUACUAUGCAGUUGUGAAAAAUAAUGAGGGCCAUCUUUACGUGCUGUUAUGGAGUGAUUUCCAGGAUAUAUAGUUAAGAUGGAAAAGUAGGAAGGAAAAAAUAUGUAUUGUAUGCUACUGUUUAAGAAAGACAAGUAUUCAUCUGUGUGUGCGUGUGUUUGCUUAUAUAUUAAAAUGCAGAAAAAUAUGACCAGGUGCGGUGGUUCACGCCUGUAAUCCCAG
rnacentral:lncRNA from 1 species